AGGGGGAGAGUUGCGGCUCAUGAACUGGGUCCAGGUGGAAGGCGGGCCGGGGUUGGAAGGUUCCAGCU
ensembl:miRNA